AUUAGGGUAGCUAGCCAGGCAUAUGCAAGAAACUUAAAAUUUCACCACGAAGGUUCAAAUCCUUCCCCUAACC
rnacentral:tRNA from 1 species